CAACCCUUCUGGUCAUGUGAAGCAAAAAUGCCGAACGGAUUCUUAAUUAGUAUAGAUGCAGUUAUCGCAUGAACCUUGGAAACGUCAAAAAAAUAUUUUUUCACAAAAUGGCGGCCGUUUGAAAAAAAAUUUUCCUUUUUGGCAUGUUUUUUGGCAAUUCCGAAUUUUUUUAAAAAUAGUAAAAUUAAAAAUUUUGAUCUGAGCGUGGUUGAGGCGAUAGAGGAAUGUAUAAAGAACAUUCACACCAAAUUUCAAAUAAAUCGGUUCAUUAGAACUUGAGAUAUCGCGCACGCCAACUCGAAAAAAGUAGUUUCGAGAAAAACGCGUUUAAAGUUUUGAGACAAGUUUCCGGCAAUUUUACUCAUAGUCUCGCCUGACUGCGAACGCAUGAGAUUCUGGGCCAAUCGUGAUUCCCAUGACACUUAAGAUUUUUAAUAUGGGUAUAAAACCUUCAUUAAAAAUACAUAUUGCGAGGAAAGUGGAAAUUUGAAUUGUCUGCGUUCCUGCGUGGGUGUGCAUAGUAAAAAAAGUCCAUAUUAACGAAUUUAACGAUUCGUUGCUAUUUUGGGUUUCAGAACCCAAACAUCGUUCCAAUUGAAUUAGAGAAUUAAAAAUACAUUAAAAAGGGAUAAAAUACAAUACAGGUACUUGGGCUUCUAUUGUUCAUUUUUUCUGGUCGGAUCGGGGCAGAUGCUGCGUCAUAAAAAUGGCUGUAAGUCAUAAAAUAAUUGAAAUUUUGAAAAAUCUUUUUAAGAGCACAUUCUUGAAUAUCUAAACUUUGAAAGUAUGAAAAAAAAUUUUCGAUUUCUUCAAAUUUGUAGACUAGAAUACCCCCGUAAGCUGGCAAGAGUUCGCACAAGUUCGUAACAUACCAAAAGAAGCACGAAGAAACAAAGGGAGAAAAACAAAGACGUCGAAAGAGAAUUUGGCAAGGCGGCCGCAUAGUUUGAGCGAUAAGUUGGCGAUAACUCGAACUUAAUAGCCUGUAAUACUAGAACGAGCUUCGAUGCGCGCCGUCACGCAACUCAUGCCUUUUGUAAAUUACGUGCAGACGUAUCGUAUACAAAAGCUUCUAACACAGGUCGUUUCCUUUGUGUUCGUUUAUCUCUGCAAACAUGUUGCUCCGAAAUUGUUGUUCACGUUACUGGGGCCAUACUAGUCAGAAUUGUACGAAAAAUACGACAUUUUUCUGGAACCUAUUUCUCGCGUUAUUUGUACAUUCGUAAAUUUACCUCUUAUACCGUUUUCAUGUUUUCGUCAGUUUGCGAAUCCCUUGUAACGCUAACAUUGAUUUACCACGUACAAGAAAUCUUUUCUGUGAAAUAUAUCAUGCUAUCGCUCUCGUUAUCGUUAUCAUCAUCAUCAUCGUUAUCGUUAUCGAUACAAUAGAUCUGAGCAUCACGAUUAUAAUAAGAUACAUACGUGUUAUACUUUUCAGGUUAUCCUGCCUUUCAUUUCGCGAAAUGAUUUCGAUUUAGCAGAAAAUUGGAGUAUUUGGAUGGUGCGUUAAAUGUUUGUCGCCUUGAAAUUGAUCGUUCCAACGACCUGUGAAAAUAAAGCUGAGCUCGAAUUCGCAGAACGUAGAAUCGAUAUCGUGAGAUUGCGUGCCACUGGUCAUCGUGCAUUGAUAACGAAUGAGAACGAAAGUUGCUCGUAUACCAAGAAGAUGAAUAGCAUACCUUUUACUAAAGAUCAAUUUUUUUUCGAUAUAUUUUUUCGCCGUCAACCAUGUUAUACAAUCGGAAGGAUUAAUUCGUGCUAAACCGGCCAAUGAAAAGACGAAAGGCAAGUGAACGGACGUCGCGUGUAUUAUAAACGGAUUACUGUCUUGACACACGUAAAUAUGUAUUCGAUAUGUAAAUCGAUGGCAAUAAGAGUACCCGAUUUAUGCGACGAAAUCGAUAUUUCAUCGAUGAUAGAAUCGCACAGAUAUUUUGCUAUGGAUCGAAAAAGUACAUAUAUAGCUACUACAAAACUCUUAAAAAUAUUUCCAAAAACAAAAAAAAAAAAAAAAAACGAUAUUUGUCAUAUUUGUGACCUUCCGAACUACGUACACGUAUCAGGAAAUAAAAUUUCUUGUACGUAAUCGUAGUGGAUUUCUUUCUACCAGUAUCUUGAACUCGCAACUGUCGCACAAUUACCUUCGACCUAUACGUAUCACCUUCGAUGCUAUCUCUACGUUUCAAAGAGAAUUUUGAGACUGCCCUAGACGAGUGGUCGUUGUUGUUGCUGUUGUUGACGUCGGCUUCGUCGUCGUCGUCGUCGUCGUCGCCGUUGUUGCCGUCGUCGUCGCCGUCGUCGCCGUCGUCGUCGUCGUCGUCGUCGUCG